rnacentral:sRNA from 1 species
AGUCUGGCUGAGAAGCUCAAAGAGAACACAUCUGAGAAAGUAUACUGAGAAGAAAAGUAUUUAGAAGUGAUAGACUCCGACUGUUCUGCUUUGAGCUGACCUGAUAAAUUUUGAAAUUGGGUCUGCAAAACGCCCGUGACGAGCUUCACCACAUCAGCAAUAUCCAGUGGAGGAUUUCCAGCAGCUUCUUUUUGAGUUUGGUUGGUUUCGCCUUUUUCUAAUAAGGAAAUUUCGUCGCCAGAGUCGUCCAUGACAAAACGUGUCUUGACUGCACGAAAAAGAGCCUUCGAAUGGCUUUACUAGUACACAAUAACUUUCACGGUCAUUCAUAGCCCGUGCUAUGAAUACCAAUAUUGUCACCUGACUAGGUGACAAUAAUAACAACCAAUAGAUGUAAAGAAUAAACAAACACUACCACGUGUUUAAGUAACAUUAAUAAAUACAUAUGAAUAAACUAUAUCUUUCCGUAAGAAAUAGAGGCAAUAACACUUGGUAGAUGUAAAUAUACAAAUCUAAAUGGUCACAACCAUCUCGGACAUUAUUUAUUUCAUGCCUUGUUUGGGAAUCGUUUAUUAUAACAUGCUGUUAUAUAUGUAAUAUACUCUUCUGUGAUGAUUUAUUUUAUAAAAGCUUAAAAAUG